UUUUUUCUUGUUGUGUUUCUGUUACACAUCGCCAUCUUGUUACAAAGCCUUUUUCUUGUCUGGAAGCUUCGCGGCGGCGCGGGGUGGGAGGGGGAGAGUGCCUGGCCGGGCGUCUCGGUUUUGUUCCCUCUUCUUUUGCAACGGUCCCCGCAGCGCCGGAGGUCUUGCCAGGAGGGGCAAAGCUGGGAGUCCCCCCCCUUCUGCUUUUUAGAAAAAUUAUUUUGGGGGGCGUGCACGUCUCCCAAGACUUUGGACCUUCCGCUGAGACGCAGCCCCGAGAAAUGAGCAUUGAGACGUUGCUAGAAGCGGCCAGGUUCCUGGAAUGGCAAGCGCAGCAACAGCAGAAAACACGUGAGGAAAACGAAAAACAUGAGAAGUUCCUCUUGGAAGGCGAACAAGAGCAGAAGAAGGCCACUUUGCAGAGAAUUAACCAUACCACGCACCCCAACGAGCUGCGGAAUGAGAGGGCGGUGGUGCCCCUUUCCCCGCCAGCCCCAGUGGCCCCCCCGCCCGCACCCAUGCCGCUCGCCACUCCGAUCUCCGUCAUCCCCAUCCCAGUGGUCACCAGCCCCCCUCAGCCUGGGGCCCAGAGCACCUUGUCCCCCCCACUGAUCCAGCGCCACCCGCCGCUCCUCAGCACCCCGUGCCUCAGCAAGGACCCCCCGCUGGUGGCGCCCGUGAUCCAGAAGGCCUCUGGCCCACUGCUCCCGGAUAUCAAGGCCCCCACGCCCCCCUCCGGCAGCCCGAGCCAGCUGCCCCAUUACGCCACCCCCGUGCUGGCCAUCUCGCACCACCACGUGGUCCAGCCGCCCGCCCACCAGCUGAAGCCUCCCCAGGUGCCGCCUCCGCCACUCAGCGUCAAGCUGGCUCCGUCGGAGGACCCCAAGCCGAGCGAGCAAAAGAAGAGGCCUGGAGGGGUUGGCACCAGGGAAGUCCAUAAUAAAUUGGAAAAAAACAGACGUGCGCACCUGAAAGAAUGCUUCGAGACCCUUAAACGAAAUAUCCCCAAUGUCGACGACAAGAAAACCUCAAACCUCAGCGUCCUAAGGAGUGCCUUGAGAUAUAUCCAGACCUUAAAACGCAAAGAGAAGGAAUAUGAGCACGAGAUGGAGCGGCUAGCACGGGAAAAGAUCGCCACGCAACAGCGGCUGGUGGAGCUGAAGAACGAAUUGAGCCAGUGGAUGGAUAUCCUGGAGAUCGACCGGAUUAUCCGACAGACUGUUCAGCCCGAAGACGAUCAGGCGUCUACCUCGACCGCGUCAGAAAGUGUCUCAGUGCCUGAUUCCCGACCACACCAGUCGCCGUGUUGCUUCGAAAUGACCUUGGAUGGCAUUGUCUGUUGGAUCACCCCGUGUAUAGCGCUCUUCUCGGUAUGUACACCUAAACACCCACACUCUGCUAGCUACAGCUGUUCAAUUCUGCACGCGCAACACAUGUUUCGUCACAAUAACCCUGUUUAUCUUUUAGGCGACAGAAGGCUCCUCGCUGCAGCGCUUUGUCUCAGCAAGAUUAUCAGAACAGUGGGCAGGCAAAGAAAACAUGGAGGAGUGUUUGACAGCCUUUGGUCUCCGAAAGGAAACGAGGUGAGAGACGUCUGGCCGAGCUGGUGGGAGUAAAGGGAGCCCUUCUAGGGAGCUGCGGUAGUGUGGACGGAAGUCGAGACGCUUGCUUGCCAGCCGUGGUAAAGUGGUGAUCCCGGUCCGGGCAACCAGAGACGCGUGGAAACCAAACCAGCCAUGGAGGCGAUCCAUAGUUUUAGAAGACCAAUUGCAGGCGCUUCGGAAGGGGAUCCGGAGAACACAGCAGGCCCACUCAGAAGUUCUGCAAGAAGCUGCUGAACACGUUGCUUUAGCGUAAGGUGGACCGGAGAGGACCGCUUGGUUGGGGAGUUGAGUACUUUUGGCGCACCUUGAUGUGUCGUUGCGCUGCCUCUUGCCUCUCUGGCGCCAGUUCUAACUCUUCACCUGCGUUGGCUGCCAAGAGUGAGGAAUGCCUAUUUACCUACCAGCUUCUCCUGGUGAGAGCAAGUCAUCAGGCCUUCCAGAUGGGCUGGAGUCCCGGUGCUAAGUCCUUAUAUGGGGAGAAGGGUUCCAGCUGGAUCAAAGGCAGCGUUUUAGCUCAGAGAUGACUGGGUGACCAGGUUGUGAGGGGAACCCCACUCAUUCCACGCUGCCUCCUGGGGGGCUGCCAGGGGUCUUUCAGACAGUAAUUUCCUUUUUCCACCCUCCUGUCCCCACAAGCGAAUGGUGGGCAGCCCAACUUGGAGAGAUGGGGAAAUCCUUGCAGGGCCAGGAAUCCAGUCGUAGCCCCUCAUGCAAGGGCUGGCCGGCAUGGCCGGUUUGUGGAGUGCCUGCCAGGAGGCAAACCCCACAAAUACGAUCGCUCUCCCGUGCAGUGUUUGUGUCGUUGCAUCUGGCACCGGAGAAGGUUGUACAGCCUUCAUGGAGCCCCUCCCGGGGGCUCGCUUGCAAGAGCUGGCAAGACGAGAGGGAGGUCCGCAGAAGCAAGAGGAGGGAUAUGGCUGACUUUGACCCUAGUCCAAGGGUGUUGUGUUCUUGUUUUAUUCCAGUUAUGUUUUGUAAGCUGUCCUGAGACGUUUGUAGUGGAUGGGUAAGAAAAGCUUUUGAUGGAUGGCUGGAUGGAUAAAAUUCCAUUAAAGAAGAGCUUGUGGUGGCGCCAAGGGGCCACACACAAGAAGGCCCUGCUACCCGAGGAGCACUUAGUGGAGCAAGGUUUAUAUGCUGGCGCCUGCUUGGGAUGGGUAAGUCUGGUGUGGACCAGGGCUGGACCACCUUCUCCAAGCCUGGUGCCCUCCAGCAUCUGGCUGUCUUUCUGCCCAGCUCAGGCACUGAUGGUUUGGGGGGGGGGGGUGGAUGCUUGGUUUUGAAACAGCUGUGAGACAAAGAGCUCCGUGGACCCGUUCGAAAAAGCUUUGCCAAUAUGUAUUUUUUAAUUUAUAGGUUGCACUUAAAAGAUAAACUCUUCAGCAAUAACGAAAAUAUUCUGGUCCUGACAAAAAUAAAUAAGGCAAUGCACAAGAUUCAUAAAAUACCAUUGUACAGAACAGUAUAAUAAACAUGUACAACAAAGUUUGCACAGUUAAA